rnacentral:rRNA from 1 species
CUAAAAAUUAUAGCCCCCAUAAAUUUUCUUCCCUCUAAAAAACAAAUAAAAUAUUUUAACCCAUAAGUAAAGAAGAUUGAAUACCUAUCCUGAGCUAUAAAUAUGUACCGCAAGGGAAAAAUGAAAUAAAAAUGAAAAACCUUAAGCACAAAAAAGUAGAGACCCACCCUCGCACCUUUUGCAUCAUGGUUUAGCUAGUCUAAUUAGGCAAAAAGACCUUUAAGUCUAACUCCCCGAAACUAAGUGAGCUACUUUGGGGCUGCUAAAUGAGCUAACCCGUCUAUGUUGCAAAAUAGUGGGAAGAACCCAAAAUAGAGGUAACAAGCCUAACGAACUUAGUCAUAGCUGGUUUCUCAAGAAAAGAAUUUUAGUCCAACCUAAAGUAACACAAAUUAACAAAAAUAUUCACCCUUACUUUAGAGCAACUCAAAUGAGGUACAGCCCAUUUGAUACAGGAUCCAACCUUCACAAACGGGUAAAUUAUACCAAAUUUUAAAUCUACAAGUAGGCCUAAAAACAGCCACCUUUAAAAAAGCGUCAAACCUUAAACAUUUUUCAUUUUAAUAUACAAAAUCCCACUGACCCCUUAAUUUAUACUGAGAACUUCUAUAAUAGUUAUAGAACCUUUUAUGCUAGAACUAGUAAUAAGAGACUCACCUCUCUAAUUAUGCAAGUAUAAGCCGACAAGAACCCAUCACCGGCAAUUAACAGACUUAAACAAAAGUAGUAACUUCAAUAGAAAACUCUACUUAUAUUAUACCCUGUCAACCUUACACUAGAGCAUUUAAAGAAAGAUUAAAAGAAAAAGAAGGAACUCGGCAAAUAUUUAACCCCGCCUGUUUACCAAAAACAUCGCCUCUUGUUUCCCCAUUAGAGGUCCAGCCUGCCCAGUGACUCUUGUUCAACGGCCGCGGUAUCCUAACCGUGCAAAGGUAGCGUAAUCACUUGUUUUCUAAAUAAAGACCAGUAUGAAAGGCACCACGAGGGCUAAACUGUCUCCUUUUUUCGAUCAAUGAAACUAAUCUCCCCGUGAAGAAGCGGGGAUCAAUAUAUAAGACGAGAAGACCCUGUGGAGCUUAAAACAUCAUAUAUACCUGCCACUUUUACUUAUAAAAAUACCCCCCCCCGCAGACUAAUUAUAUGUUUUUGGUUGGGGUGACCGCGGAAAAUAACCCAUCCUCCGCGAUGAAAGGGAACUACCCCCUAAAAACAAGCCACAACUUUAUGUAUCAACUAAUUGACAUCCAUUGACCCAAUACUUUGAUUAACGAACCAAGUUACCCCAGGGAUAACAGCGCAAUCCACUUUAAGAGCUCCUAUCGACAAGUGGGCUUACGACCUCGAUGUUGGAUCAGGGUAUCCAAGUGGUGCAACCGCUACUAAAGGUUCGUUUGUUCAACGAUUAAAACCCUACGUGAUCUGAGUUCAGACCGGAGCAAUCCAGGUCAGUUUCUAUCUAUACAGGGCUUUUUUUAGUACGAAAGGACCAAAACAGCAUGGCCCAUACUAUAGCAAGCCAUAAUUAAUCAUUUUAGAACUCCCCUUAAAAAAAUAUUAACCUAACACCACCU